AACGAACGCUGGCGGCAGGCUUAACACAUGCAAGUCGAACGCAUCGCAAGAUGAGUGGCAGACGGGUGAGUAACGCGUGGGAACAUACCCUUUUCUACGGAAUAGCUCUGGGAAACUGGAAUUAAUACCGUAUACGCCCUACGGGGGAAAGAUUUAUCGGGGAAGGAUUGGCCCGCGUUGGAUUAGCUAGUUGGUGGGGUAAAGGCCUACCAAGGCGACGAUCCAUAGCUGGUCUGAGAGAUGAUCAGCCACAUUGGGACUGAGACACGGCCCAAACUCCUACGGGAGGCGGCAGUGGGGAAUAUUGGACAAUGGGCGCAAGCCUGAUCCAGCCAUGCCGCGUGAGUGAUGAAGGCCUUAGGGUUGUAAAGCUCUUUCACCGAUGAAGAUAAUGACGGUAGUCGGAGAAGAAGCCCCGGCUAACUUCGUGCCAGCAGCCGCCGUAACAC
rnacentral:rRNA from 1 species